rnacentral:rRNA from 1 species
AUUGAACGCUGGCGGCAUGCCUUACACAUGCAAGUCGAACGGCAGCGGACCUUCGGGUGCCGGCGAGUGGCGAACGGGUGAGUAAUAUAUCGGAACGUACCUUUCAGUGGGGGAUAACGUAGCGAAAGUUACGCUAAUACCGCAUAUUCUGUGAGCAGGAAAGCAGGGGAUCGCAAGACCUUGCGCUGAUUGAGCGGCCGAUAUCAGAUUAGCUAGUUGGUGAGGUAAAGGCUCACCAAGGCGACGAUCUGUAGCGGGUCUGAGAGGAUGAUCCGCCACACUGGAACUGAGACACGGUCCAGACUCCUACGGGAGGCAGCAGUGGGGAAUUUUGGACAAUGGGCGCAAGCCUGAUCCAGCCAUGCCGCGUGAAUGAUGAAGGUCUUAGGAUUGUAAAAUUCUUUCACCGGGGACGAUAAUGACGGUACCCGGAGAAGAAGCCCCGGCUAACUUCGUG